CAGGGAGACAACAAAAUGUUUAAUAUUAUUAUUUUGUCACCUUAGGUCGAUCGGUAUCUCACGUUUUUAAUUAAUUAAGAAUUUCAUUUCCUAAGUUUUUCUAGGUCACACCCAUUAUUUUUCCUGGGCCAUUAGCUCAGGUGGUUAGAGCGCACCCCUGAUAAGGGUGAGGUCCCUGGUUCAAGUCCAGGAUGGCCCAUAUCUCUAUGUUGGGGGUAUAGCUCAGUUGGUAGAGCGCCUGCUUUGCAAGCAGGAUGUCAGCGGUUCGAGUCCGCUUACCUCCACUGAUUACCACCUCUUCCAUUAUUUUUAGAAAGGAAAUGUUUUGAGUUGUGAUCAAAUUCUGAACGAUUCUAGCUUCCUAAUGUAAGCAUUAAGAUGCUGGACUCAUUGAAUUAAUUUCAUUGUUUUCAGAGAACCUUGACAACUGCAUAGAUUAUUUUUUAAAGACAAUAAGCAUCUUUAAUGAUGCAGAUUUAUUAUUUGUGCGAAUGCAUUAAUAACAAUUCUAUUAAGCUGAUGCUUCAAUUUUGAAGUUAUU
rnacentral:tRNA from 1 species